UACGUAGGGUGCAAGCGUUAUCCGGAUUUACUGGGUGUAAAGGGCGAGUAGACGGCGAUGCAAGUCAGAUGUGAAAUGCUAGGGCUUAACCUUAGAACUGCAUCUGAAACUGUGUUGCUAGAGUGCAGGAGAGGUAAACGGAAUUCCUAGUGUAGCGGUGAAAUGCGUAGAUAUUAGGAGGAACAUCAGUGGCGAAGGCGGUUUACUGGACUGUAACUGACGUUGAGGCGCGAAAGCGUGGGGAGCAAACAGGAUUAGAUA
rnacentral:rRNA from 1 species